UUCGCGCUCACAUCUUCGGGUAACAUUCAUAGAAGGGUGUUUGUGUUUAUGUUUUGCUUCUUGGGCAUGGUAAUUUUUCCUAUGAGCUUCUUGGGCAUGGUAAUUUUUCCUAUGAAGAAGGCUAGGAUCCACACCAGACUAGCCAUGGUUACUAAGACUUUAAUGGAAGGGAUCAAUGGACAAUCAUUCAACAUAGUACCUAUGAUCCUCGCGGAAAUUUAUCGAGCCUUGGGAAAG
rnacentral:lncRNA from 1 species